GGAAGCUAGUAAGUUCCUUCCUAAGGUUAAUCAAUUGCUUGUUGAUUUGGAGACUGUAUCGAUGCCAGAGGUGAAGGAAAAAGGUUCAAAGGUGACAGUGAAGGUAGAGAAGGAGGAAAGGGAGUAUUUUCCUAAUUUGAUUAAAGGAAAGAAGAAUCAUGAUCGAGAUGAUGAAGAUUUGCAGGAAGAAAGGAGUAACAAACAGUCUGCAGUUUAUGCAGAUGAAAGUGAACUAGCAGAGAUGUUUGAUAAGGUGUUAGUGUGUACUGGGGAAGAAUGUGGACGUCCUCCAUGUAUCCAAAAUGACGCCUCACAGGGUCGACCAAGCAAAACAUUGCAUCAGAAUGAGCAAACAAAUGGAUCUAAUUCUAAUGGUGGCAGCAAGAGUCGGGC
rnacentral:misc_RNA from 1 species